UCCAACUCUUCACCUCAGCACAUUAGUAUUGUGCUGUAGUCAAGCUACAGUCUUUCCUUCACCCAUGGGAGGUGCUGAGUGCUCGUAGGACAGUCCAGCUUUUGGGGAUUCACUUUCCGUGUUAGAGUGCAGCCUGCUGGGGCCAGCCCUGGAGGAAUGGCUCCAGCUUCCUCACGCUCUCUUCUAAAGAGCCAACAACUAGAGUUCAGUCAUGUCCUUGUAAGGCUAGGAGUCCCUGGAGAUCACCAAAAAAAAAAAAAAAAAAAAAGACUUGUUGUCAGGAGAACCUGCAGUCCCUCCAAAGGUGCCCCAUUGAUGCAAAAGCCAGAUACUUCUUUGUCAACAAAGGCAUCCCAUGGUGAAAAGUCUGGAGGAUAAACUGCCCUUGGCUCAUUGUUGUGCAAUCAGAAAUUCAUUCAUGUGAGGAAAAAGCAGAUAAAACUGAUGGAAAAACGCCAAAGAAAGCGGCUGUCAGACUGAUUGCUUUUUGGCAGAGGCUGAGAUCAAGAUUUACCAAGGAAAGCCCACGUAAAUAUGAUCCAAGAGGAAGUGACAGAGCUCAAGAGCAUUACUAAGCCUCGAAACUGGAAUUUCAGUUACCUUGCAAGAUAUCAGGUGCCUCCUUCAAAUGAAUUUUUAAGUAUCUCUGUGAUGAUGAGGAAGAACCGAGACAUCAAUUAGGAUUCAGGAAGACAAGUCUUUGCAGAAAAUGCUUAGAGCAUCAAGGAUUGCUAUUAAUAUUUGGAAGUUUAAAAGAGAGUAUAUUUUCCUCAGUCAACAAAUGACAAAAGUAAAGGCAUGGUUUUCAUUGUUUCUGGAAGAAGCCUGGCAGCAUUCCAUUCAGACAUCUGCCCUUUGAUUGUUCUAUUUUCCUCUUUACUUAUUUCAGUCCUUCUAAUCUUCAAGGCUGAGUCUGAAUAUUUCUUCCUGAGGCUUCUUCUAGUCAUCUCUGCCCUUAAGGACAACUCCCUCCUCCAACUCCUAUAGCCCUUACCUGUCAUUUGAAAAUUUAGUACCUAUGUAUUAUACUAUGAUUGAAUAAAUAAAUGUUCAUCUUCUGCAAGUA